rnacentral:misc_RNA from 1 species
CUCUCUCUCUCUCUCUUUCUAUUUUUAACAACUUCUGGGCUAAUGCGCUUUUUCCCGUGUUCUAAAUGUUUUGAAUUCUUUCUACACAAAAGCUUCAAAGAAUGAAUCCCUCUUUUCUUUUCCCUUGCCACUUUACAGAUAUACCAUUUCAAUGGCUACUGUGCUUUCUUUUUUUGUUGUUUUGUAUCACAGUUGACAAAAGUCCCUCUUUACAGACCUAUACGUUUCAUUUUGAACCUAUUUUUGUCUUUUGUUAUCUAUAGCUAGGGACAAUCUGGUGUUUUU